GGGGCGGACGGAGGCUCGAUACCGCGAGGAGUCGGUGGAAGGCGGACGUGGGAGCUGUUUCGCCGCGCCCGCCGAGCUGCCCAGGCGAGCUCGCGACGCGCGAGCUGGUGUGUGCGCCCCCAGACUUAGCACUGCGUCCCACCGCUGCAGCUUCUGCACACGCGUGCUGUCUUGGUGACUAGAAAAGAAAAAGAAAAAACUCACGGAGGAAGGGCUGUCCACCCGCUCAGGAUAUUCACGCCAUUUAUCACGAUGCGCAACUUGAAUCCAUUCCCGCCGUUCCUUUUACACACAAAGCAUUGUGUUGAAAACUGUUUUGCACGUAAUAGGUGCGCAAAUACUUGUUUACUGCGCUUUGAAGAAAAAAAUGAGGAUUUCGAACGACAUAUUUGAUGAUCAGACAAGUGAUUACUUGUCAAAAUUUUAGCUAUUUAAGGGCCUGUUUUUACCCCUUAAUCCAUGUCGAUUGCUUACAAGCUGGUGUGCUAGGCACGGAAUGGGAUCCAACAGGUAAAAAUAGGAUGGAUCCCUACCUCAAGUAGCUUUUAGUAUUUGCUGUAUUCAGUUGGUUGCAGAAUACAAACUAGAGACUAUUGAAGGUAGUUGCUCUGUCAUUUACCACACUUUAGUGAGCUUCGUGAAGGUAGAGAUCUUGAUUUUUUCCUUAUUUUAUUCCAGCACCCAGAAGUAUCAACUAGCACAUAAGUGCUUAAUAAAUAAUUGUAUAAAUGACUAAGGGAUGACUGCCUUUCUCUUAAAUACAGUCUCUGUUAAUGUACUCUACAAAGUUUUGGUUUUUAAUAAAACAACUGUAUAAUAUGGCUAAUUCAUGUUUCAUUUGUGGUUUACUGAUUCCCACCUUUUCCCACAAAGCCAAGUCUUCUCACUUAUAUUUACAGCAGUUUACUUCCUCUAAAUUACUCUGUAUUUCUGUCUAUUAAGUUCAUCCUGUAAUUAUCUGCCCAUUUC
rnacentral:lncRNA from 10 species